GAGAGUAUAGCUCAGUGGUAGAGUGUGUGCUUAGCCUGCAUGAGGUCCUGGGUUCAAUCCCCAGCACCUUGA
rnacentral:tRNA from 1 species